rnacentral:rRNA from 1 species
UACGGGGGGGGCAAGCGUUGUUCGGAAUUACUGGGCGUAAAGGGCUCGUAGGCGGCCAACUAAGUCAGACGUGAAAUCCCUCGGCUUAACCGGGGAACUGCGUCUGAUACUGGAUGGCUAGAGGUUGGGAGAGGGAUGCGGAAUUCCAGGUGUAGCGGUGAAAUGCGUAGAUAUCUGGAGGAACACCGGUGGCGAAGGCGGCAUCCUGGACCGGCAUUGACGCUGAGGAGCGAAAGCUAGGGGAGCAAACGGG